rnacentral:rRNA from 1 species
CCGUGAAACUGCGAAUGGCUCAUUAAAUCAGUUAUCGUUUAUUUGAUAGUACCUUACUACUUGGAUAACCGUGGUAAUUCUAGAGCUAAUACAUGCUAAAAACCUCGACUUCGGAAGGGGUGUAUUUAUUAGAUAAAAAACCAAUGCCCUUCGGGGCUCCUUGGUGAUUCAUGAUAACUUAACGAAUCGCAUGGCCUUGCGCCGGCGAUGGUUCAUUCAAAUUUCUGCCCUAUCAACUUUCGAUGGUAGGAUAGUGGCCUACCAUGGUAUCAACGGGUAACGGGGAAUUAGGGUUCUAUUCCGGAGAGGGAGCCUGAGAAACGGCUACCACAUCCAAGGAAGGCAGCAGGCGCGCAAAUUACCCAAUCCCGACACGGGGAGGUAGUGACAAUAAAUACUGAUACAGGGCUCUUUUGGGUCUUGUAAUUGGAAUGAGUACAAUUUAAAUACCUUAACGAGGAACAAUUGGAGGGCAAGUCUGGUGCCAGCAGCCGCGGUAAUUCCAGCUCCAAUAGCGUAUAUUAAAGUUGUUGCAGUUAAAAAGCUCGUAGUUGAACCUUGGGCCUGGCUGGCCGGUCCGCCUCACCGCGUGUACUGGUCCGGCCGGGCCUUUCCUUCUGGGGAUCCUCAUGCCCUUCACUGGGUGUGCUGGGGAACCAGGACUUUUACUUUGAAAAAAUUAGAGUGUUCAAAGCAGGCCUUUGCUCGAAUACAUUAGCAUGGAAUAAUAGAAUAGGACGUGCGGUCCUAUUUUGUUGGUUUCUAGGACCGCCGUAAUGAUUAAUAGGGAUAGUCGGGGGCAUCAGUAUUCAAUUGUCAGAGGUGAAAUUCUUGGAUUUAUUGAAGACUAACUACUGCGAAAGCAUUUGCCAAGGAUGUUUUCAUUAAUCAGUGAACGAAAGUUAGGGGAUCGAAGACGAUCAGAUACCGUCGUAGUCUUAACCGUAAACUAUGCCGACUAGGGAUCGGGCGAUGUUAUUCUUUUGACUCGCUCGGCACCUUACGAGAAAUCAA